GAUGAAGAACGUAGCGAAAUGCGAUAAGUAAUGUGAAUUGCAGAAUUCAGUGAAUCAUCGAAUCUUUGAACGCACAUUGCGCCCGUCAGUAUUCUGGCGGGCAUGCCUGUUCCAGCGUCAUUACGCCCCUCAAGUCCCCUGUGGACUUGGUGUUGGGGAUCGGCGAGGCUGGUUUUCCAGCACAGCCGUCCCUUAAAUUAAUUGGCGGUCUCGCCGUGGCCCUCCUCUGCGCAGUAGUAAAACACUCGCAACAGGAGCCCGGCGCGGUCCACUGCCGUAAAACCCCCCAACUUUUUAUAGUUGACCUCGAAUCAGGUAGGACUACCCGCUGAACUUAAGCAUAUCAAUAAGCGGAGGA
rnacentral:misc_RNA from 1 species